AGAGUUUGAUCCUGGCUCAGGAUGAAUGCUGGCGGUGUGCUUAAGGUAUGCAAGUCGAGCGAAUUUCGGAGCAAUCCGAAGUUAGCGGCAGACGGGUGAGUUAUGCGUAGGAAUCUACCUCUUAGUGGGGAAUAGCUCGCCGAAAGGCGGGAUAAUACCGCAUGUGGUCCGCAAGGACCAAAGCCGCAAGGCGCUAAGAGAGGAGCCUGCGUGCUAUCAGCUUGUUGGUAGGGUAAAAGCCUACCAAGGCUAUGACGGCUAGGGGGCGUGAGAGCGUGGCCCCCCACAAGGUUACUGAGAUACGGAGCCUACACCUACGGGUGGCAGCAAUCGGGAAUCGUUCGCAAUGGGGGAAACCCUGACGACGCGACACCGCGCGUGGGAAGACGGCCUUUGGGUUGUAAACCACUGUGGCGAGGGAAGAAUAAAAUGACGGUACCUCGCUAGAAAGCACCUGCUAACUACGUGCCAGAAGCCUCGGUAAUACGUAGGGUGCAAGCAUUAUCCGGAUUUACUGGGCGUAAAGGGUUUCGUAGGCGGACUAAUAAGUCGAUUCUUAAAAACCGCGGCUCAACUGCGGGGAUGGACUCGAUACUGUUAGUCUUGAGGGUGUGAGAGGUGACUGGAAUUCUCGGUGGAGGGGUGAAAUCCGUUGAUAUCGAGAGGAACGUCAAUGGCGAAAGCAGGUCACUGGCACACUCCUGACGCUCAUGUACGAAAGCGUGGGUAGCAAACCGGAUUAGAGACCCGGGUAGUCCACGCCGUAAACAAUGGAUACUAGAUGUCCCUUCCACUAAAAGCUUUUCUCUUUUUAAAGCAUGUGUGCUUAAAAAGGUUAUUAAGAGCUUUGAGUGGAGGGGGUGUCGCAAGCUAACGCGUUAAGUAUCCCGCCUGGGUAGUACGGCCGCAAGGCUAAAACUCAAAGGAAUUGACGGGGAAGCGCACAACCGGUGGAGCACGUGGUUUAAUUCGAUACGAAGCGAAGUACCUUACCUGGGUUUGACAUGCAACUGCUCAUCCCAAGAAACUGGGACUCUUUCGAAGGUGUUGCACAGCUGCUGCAUGGCUGUCGUCAGCUCGUGUCGUGAGACGUCCGCUUAAGUGCGGUAACGAGCGCAACCCCUGCUGCGUGUUACAUAUUCACGCGGGACUGCCUUACAGCAAGUAGGGAGGAAGGAGGGGACGACGUCAAGUCAGCAUGGCGCUUACACCCAGGGCUACACACAUCCUACAAUGGCAAGUAACAACGGGUUGCGAGAGGGUAACCUUUAGCCAAUCCUUCAAACCUUGCCUCAGUUCAGAUUGGGGGCUGCAACUCGCCCCCAUGAAGUCGGAAUCGGUAGUAAUCGCAGGUCAGCAGACUGCGGUGAAUACGUUCUCGCUUCUUGUACACACUGCCCGUCAAGCCAGCAAAGUUGGCAGCGCCCGAAGCGGGUGUCCUAAACCGCAAGGAUAGGCCCUUCUAAGGCGAGGUCAGCGAUGAGGACUAAGUCGUAACAAGGUAACC
rnacentral:rRNA from 1 species